rnacentral:rRNA from 1 species
CCUACGGGGGGCAGCAGUAGGGAAUAUUGGUUAAUGGGCGAAAGCCUGACCCAGCAACGCCGCGUGAGUGAUGAAGGCCUUCGGGUUGUAAAACUCUUUUUACGAGGAUGAGGAAGGACAGUACUCGUAGAAUAAGUCUCGGCUAACUACGUGCCAGCAGCCGCGGUAACACGUAGGAGACAAGCGUUAUCCGGAUUUACUGGGUGUAAAGCGCGUGCAGGCGGUUCAGUAAGUUGGAUGUGAAAGCUCCUGGCUUAACUGGGAGAGGUCGUUCAAGACUGCUGGACUAGAGGAUGGCAGAGGGGAGUGGAAUUCCGAGUGUAGCGGUAAAAUGCAUAGAUAUUCGGAAGAACACCAGUGGCGAAGGCGGCUCUCUGGGCCAUUACUGACGCUCAGACGCGAAAGCUAGGGUAGCAAACGGGAUUAGAUACCCCGGUAGUC